rnacentral:rRNA from 1 species
AAACCUUUUAAAGAAGCUUCGGCAGAUUUAGCUGGUUUCUAGUGGCGGACGGGUGAGUAACGCGUGGGUAACCUGCCUUGUACAGGGGGAUAACAGUCAGAAAUGACUGCUAAUACCGCAUAAGCCCACGGUACCGCAUGGUACUGAGGGAAAAGGAUUUAUUCGCUUUAGGAUGGACUCGCGUCCAAUUAGCUAGUUGGUGAGGUAACGGCCCACCAAGGCGACGAUUGGUAGCCGGUCUGAGAGGAUGAACGGCCACACUGGAACUGAGACACGGUCCAGACUCC